GGCCGUGUACUCGAUGUUAACGGUGGCUGUUUACCUUGUGUAGGUGGACCACGCAACUGCUGUACAACGCCGAGCCCAGCUAUCGUUGAAAGACGCUUGAUCUGCGCAUGCUGCACCAGUUCUUCUGAUUGCGAGCAAAUAGCGGAUCACCAAUCUAGAGGCCUUGGAUCUGGGCCUGUCAUCUGAAAAUAUCGCGCGUGCGUUCUCCCCUUCGCACUGCGCUGUCAACGGCAUCGACAAGUGCGGCACCCCGUGGUCCAUGGUUACCUACAAGUAGCUGCGGCGACGACGGACUUGCGGGAUUUGCGGCCGUGUACUCGAUGUUAACGGUGGCUGUUUACCUUGUGUAGGUGGACCACGCAACUGCUGUACAACGCCGAGCCCAGCUAUCGUUGAAAGACGCUUGAUCUGCGCAUGCUGCACCAGUUCUUCUGAUUGCGAGCAAAUAGCGGAUCACCAAUCUAGAGGCCUUGGAUCUGGGCCUGUCAUCUGAAAAUAUCGCGCGUGCGUUCUCCCCUUCGCACUGCGCUGUCAACGGCAUCGACAAGUGCGGCACCCCGUGGUCCAUGGUUACCUACAAGUAGCUGCGGCGACGACGGACUUGCGGGAUUUGCGGCCGUGUACUCGAUGUUAACGGUGGCUGUUUACCUUGUGUAGGUAAGUGUGUAGCACCUUUUUUCACCUCGAUUAUUACCAUUGUCACUGGCUGCAAAUCCCAACUUUCUAUUAUUUCUUGUUUGCUAUGGGUGUUGAUGUGUGUACGUAUCGCGCGCGCAUAGGACGCUUCCUUGCGCGCCACAUACAACUCAAACAGCAAUUCGCUGUCUGGCUCCGUUCAACGGCGUUUUUUGGUUACUGGAGACCAGGAUGCCGUCUACUUGUAGUUUUGUUCAGUGUUGCACACAUACUGCUUUGCGCUGGUGACAUCGAAACAAAUCCAGGGCCUGACAAAGUAGAGCAGCUAUUAGUUUUGGUGAAAGAUAUAGGACAGACAAUUGACAAAUUCCA